UGUUGGGUAGACUUUUAGGAGCCCCUGUUUUUCUCACCCUGUUGACAAACGCGGAAGUGGUCCACCCCAGAGGGCACCUGGGGUGAUGGAGCCUUCUGCUGGGGGACAAUGGAGCACGAGGCAUGGGAAAUUCUGCUGGAUUUUCUCUAAAUCACUGGGAUUUGGCGGCCUGCUAUUCCUGGACACGCCCAGAUGAGGAAACUGAGACUUGGAGACAAAUAAUUUAGGCUCCAGCUAUGAGCAGUAACAUCAAAGUAACAUCAAAAGCAAGCAUUGGAUUCCUGGGAUUGAUUCUCUUUGCCUCGGAGCAAUAAAGCAA